AUUGAACGCUGGCGGCAGGCCUAACACAUGCAAGUCGAGCGGAUGAAGGGAGCUUGCUCCUGGAUUCAGCGGCGGACGGGUGAGUAAUGCCUAGGAAUCUGCCUGGUAGUGGGGGAUAACGUCCGGAAACGGGCGCUAAUACCGCAUACGUCCUGAGGGAGAAAGUGGGGGAUCUUCGGACCUCACGCUAUCAGAUGAGCCUAGGUCGGAUUAGCUAGUUGGUGGGGUAAAGGCCUACCAAGGCGACGAUCCGUAACUGGUCUGAGAGGAUGAUCAGUCACACAGGAACUGAGACACGGUCCAGACUCCUACGGGAGGCAGCAGUGGGGAAUAUUGGACAAUGGGCGAAAGCCUGAUCCAGCCAUGCCGCGUGUGUGAAGAAGGUCUUCGGAUUGUAAAGCACUUUAAGUUGGGAGGAAGGGCAGUAAGUUAAUACCUUGCUGUUUUGACGUUACCAACAGAAUAAGCACCGGCUAACUUCGU
rnacentral:rRNA from 1 species